CAGGGGAGGAGGUCCCCUGUGAGCCCACUCUGGAACCCUUCCUGGAACCCUCCCUACUCUGACCCCCUACAGACAACCAAGCACUAAUCCCCUUAGUACCAAGAAAGGGGAGCCAGGAUUUAGUCCUGGCCCAGCCCAGAGCUGGGACCUGGAGCACGAUCUGUUGACUUCCCUGGGUAGGACACUGCCACCUCUGGGCUCAGGUCCUCAUGCCUCCAAAUGGCAUCUAGAGUUUGAGCAGCCUUCUUGGCUGCAGGCAGGCCUAGCCUGUGGCAGCGGGCUAGGGCCCGCAGAGCAUUUGGUGCCCCUCCAUGUUGCAAUGCAAACACCUUCACCACUGGGGCAGUGGGGAGAGAUGGCUAUAUUAAUAAAAUAACGUGUGUCUUUCAA
rnacentral:lncRNA from 1 species